AGAACCUAGCAGAAACCUUUCUGGCCUUGAAAACAAAAAGAAAAGUACAAUCAUGGGAGAUGGUGAAAUGGAGUGUUUCGGCUCGGCGGCCAUUUAUCUCUGGCAGCCAGAAAGAGAGCGAAUCAAGGCUCAGAAAACCCGCUUUGAUGACAAAUCAGCAUUCUUCAUGACAGAUGCAGAUGAGAUGUACCUGAAAGGUAUUCUUUUUAGUAAAGAGGGUGGCAAAGCUAAUGUCAAAACUCACAGUGGGAAAACUGUUACAGUAAAAUAAGAUGAAAUAUUCCCAAUGAAUCCUCCCAUUGUUUGACAGAAUUGAGGACAUGGCCAACCCUUAUGACUACCCAAUGAUCAGCCAGGGUGAAAUCACUGUCAAGAGUAUCAAUGACGUGGAGGAGUUCAUUGCCACUGAUGUAUGUUGACAACUGCAAUAUUAUUUUUAGU